AAAAAACCACCGUCUACCCACCGUACGAGCGGGGCGAAGGAAAUACUUGGGCGAAAAAGUGGAAAGCGAUCGAUCCGCAUUUUCAGAAGUCACGGUGCGAUGUAUUACGAGUCGUGGCCUUCAAUCAGUCACCACGGUGGCCAGUUCAUCGCAGUACUCAUUCAACGUCCAACCACGAAGGGCAGGAGUUAUACAUGGCAUCGCACAAUUCGUUCACAGGUAUCCGAAGAUGCUGCCGCCGUAGCUGCUGUUUGACCGGACUCCCCCUGUUCAUCAGGGGGAGUCCACCGUCCCCUGG
rnacentral:misc_RNA from 1 species